UCUCGGAAAGCGGCAGCAACAUUGUAACGCGUUGCGAAAUACGCGCGGAGUGUGUUUGCGUCGCAAGAAACGCACCGGCGAUCAAUCCGGCUUCACGGGCCUCCGAGGUAUCGAUCGCGCACGCAGAAGGAGGCUGAAGGGAGAGAGACAGAAGAGAGAAGAGAGACGUGCUAAUGCAUAUAUUAAAUAUCAUAUGUCUCAAUAACACGCGCGCGGCAGGUUCCUCGCGAGUGCGAGCAGUUUUUCCGGCGUCGCGUCGUCGCGAGGCAGUGCUUUAAAAUCACCGCGCGAGCCGUCUUCACACUUCGCUCAUUGAUUCGUGUCGCUGAAGUUCAAUGUCGCUUUAUGCACCGUCGACGUGGGAUUGCGUCAUCGUUCGACGAUAAUUUCUGAAUCAUGACAAGACACAAAAUGGAGGGAGGGCCGUGUUUGAGAAAUUAGCAAGCCGGGAACUUUGAUCUAGCGAUAAGCGUUCUGAGAGUAUCUUUCGUCGAUUAUCUCUCUAUAGUCAUCCGUCGGAAACACUUCGUGUUUCGAGGCCUCUUCACAUAAUACCUUCGCACCGACAGCGUGUUUCUCUAUAUGCUGAUAUGACACACCGACGAGUCACGCAUUUGCGUGCAACGGCAAUACGCAGAUCUCACUGCGUAUUAUCGCCUCUAAUAUCCGUAUCAUUAUUAAUUUAAGCUCACGCAGGGGGAGAACGAGUGCCGUUUCUCACGAAAGAAAUUCGCGCGUUAUCAUCGCCAAGCGACGACGGGGCGGUAGAAAACCAACGACGGGCGUCGUCAUCGCCCCGGUCAUAUAGUUCGCGACUCACAUUUUUCUGCUUCAUUUACCUCGAUAUUACCUCGAUUCCGCCGCCGUCUAAUAAAUCCUUUUUCCGCAAGGCCACGAUCGAUCAUUGCGCGCAGAAAAAAAAAACCCGACGCGGAAACUUUUACGACCGUCUCUUCUUCCCAGGUGUAAAAAUAUCGCAUCUCGCUCGUCUCCGAUGCAAGCAUCGAUUUAUUAUAAUUUGCCCGAUUCUCGCGGAGGUAAAAUGAGACGAGUUUCUUCGAAACGGUAUCAAUAAAGUCGAGAUACGUUAUGAACAAGUUCGCGUUAAUAAUCAUCGUGCCUGCAGACUAAUCUUCGGAUGAUGUAAUCUCCGGCUUAUGAUAACGCACGUUUUCAACCGAUGGAUUAAUAAAGAGUGGGCGGAUUCGUGUCAUUAAAAGUCAAUUAAUGACGUAUUAAUCGCGUUAAUGGCGUAGCCCCGACCGAUGACGGCAAUAAUAUAAACGUCGUAAACACGAGCAGCUGGCCAUGCAUUUCGCCGGUGUCAACCGGUGUAAUAUAAGGGGGAAGAAAAAUUGCUUCGUCAUUUGAAAUUAAAGAGUGAAGAAACCGUAUCGGAUUGUUAAUUUCCAAUCUAACGAUUGUGACACAACAAGAAAUAUAAUGCGAUGCAAUAAGUGUGUAUAUCGCAACGACGUGAAUUUACGAUAGAAAUUCGCUUCUAUCACAAAAAAAUGCGUCUAAUUAUCUAAUCGUCCUGAAUAUCCGGGACUUCCGUAUUCCAGUUUUCCAACUCUGAGAACGCCACGUGCUGUCAGCCUGAAACGAUCAUGUCAAGCGUCAUGUCGAAAUAAACGCGCGCUUCUUUUUUAGCCGCGAGACCAUGUUACUGCGUUAAAAAUUCUGAGAUUUUGUGGCGAGCGCGAGACUGAAAAAGGGCUUCUAAGAAACCCGGGGAUGUGCGUGAUGCGUCAAUAACUUACUCUGC